GAUGAACGCUGGCGGCGUGCUUAACACAUGCAAGUCGAACGAAGCACUUUAUUUGAUUUCCUUCGGGACUGAUUAUUUUGUGACUGAGUGGCGGACGGGUGAGUAACGCGUGGGUAACCUGCCUUGUACAGGGGGAUAACAGUUGGAAACGGCUGCUAAUACCGCAUAAGCGCACGGCAUCGCAUGAUGCAGUGUGAAAAACUCCGGUGGUAUAAGAUGGACCCGCGUUGGUUUAGCUAGUUGGUGAGGUAACGGCCCACCAAGGCGACGAUACAUAGCCGACCUGAGAGGGUGACCGGCCACAUUGGGACUGAGACACGGCACAAACUCCUACGGGAGGCAGCAGUGGGGAAUAGUGCACAAUGGGCGAAAGCCUGAUGCAGCGACGCCGCGUGAGCGAAGAAGUAUUGCGGUAUGUAAAGCUCUAUCAGCAGGGAAGAUAAUGACGGUACCUGACUAAGAAGCACCGGCUAAAUACGUG
rnacentral:rRNA from 1 species